rnacentral:rRNA from 1 species
GAUCAUGGCUCAGGAUGAACGCUAGCUACAGGCUUAACACAUGCAAGUCGAGGGGCAGCGGGAUUGAAGCUUGCUUCAAUUGCCGGCGACCGGCGCACGGGUGAGUAACGCGUAUCCAACCUUCCGCAUACUCGGGGAUAGCCUUCUGAAAGGAGAUAAUACCGACUGGUAUCAAGAGAUUGCAUGAUAACUUAGUAUUAAAGUAAAUUUACGGUUAGUUGCGAUGGGGAGGUGCGUU